rnacentral:rRNA from 1 species
AUAUUGCACAAUGGAGGGAACUCUGACGCAGCGACGCCGCGUGAGCGAUGAAGGUCUUNGGAUCGNANAGCUCUGUCCUUGGGGANGAAGGUCUUCGGACUUUACGGUACCUAAGGAGGAAGCCCCGGCUAACUACGUGCCAGCAGCCGCUGUAGUACGUAGGGGGCAAGCGUUGUCCGGAAUUAUUGGGCGUAAAGGGUGCUUAAGUGGCCUUUUAAGUAAGGUGUGAAAGCCCACGGCUUAACCGUGGGACUGCAUUUGAAACUGGAGGGCUUGGGUAUCGGGGAGGGUAGUGGAAUUCACAGUGUAGCGGUGGAAUGCGUAGAUAUUGGGAGGAACACCAGUGGCGAAGGCGACUACCUGGACGAAAACUGACGCUGGGGCACGAAAGCUAGGGGAGCAAAC